CCACGGACAGCUCCCCCCUGGCCGCACCCCACAGUCCCGCGCCGAGCCGAGCCCAGCCCAGCCUGGCCGGGCCGAGCUGACCCAAGCCAAACAAUCUCCCUGACAGAGCUUUUCGGGACGCUGUUCAUCCCUUGGAGACCAUACUGCCUUGUGAUCGGUGCGCUCUGUGCUGAGCAGCUGUGUCUGCUGGAACCCCGUCUGUUCGCAGCCUUUCCCCGUCUCAAAGGCAAGGUCAGGCAGAGCUGGAGCCACCUCCGAAUCGGCAAGAGAUUUGACUGUUGUGAAGCUCAUAAUGACAUUGAAAUCAGCCCUUGGAAAGGAAUAGACUAUGCAUUAGAUUUCUGGCCUGUAUUCAAGCUGCAGGAGCGAGAAACAGGAUCUCCAAACACAGAGCCAAGCAUGCAAAAUGAGAUUGCUGACAUCAGGGUACAGUAAGAAGACGGACCAUCAAACCUGGAGAGCAAGAGGGACGCGUCGCGUUUUUAUGGGCUGACAUCACAUCUGGAAAGCUGCUGCCCUCUGCAAUACUGAAUAAAAGAGAAGAAGAAGAUUCCAGCUAACCCACCAGUAGAUGCCUAAGAAAACCCUGGCAGCCCCUGCCUCCCUCGUGGCAGUUUCUGAUAAGGGAAGAUGGUGUUGAAGGAAGGAAUUUUUAUAGUAAGGUAGAGAUUUGCCUCAGUAAUAUUGGGGGUUCUCUUGAGAUACUUCAUAUAUUUCCUAACAUAAGUUUCCUUUUUAUUUUUUUCAAACUCACAUAGAGACAAAGAAAAGUCUUCUGUUUCAUGUUGUUCAAGUAACGCAGAACUGCUUGGCUGAGCACAUAAAAUAUGCGUAUUUAUUUAUAUCUUGGGUGUGGACAUGAAUCUGCUAAGAGGGUACAAAUCUUCUUAACUAAAUUUCUUCCAUCCUCCUCUCACACUCAUACCCUGCUAUCGGGUGUUGGAAAUUGUUAAUUUAAUGAUGAGUUUCAGUUAAUAUUAAAGCUCAGCUUCAUUGUCACUGGACAAACUUUUUACAGCUGACUUAGAAUUGGGAAAAUGAACAUAGAAAUGGCUGCUCAGAAGUGUAUGUAUAGGUUAUAUUUUUUGAGCAGAUGAUUGUCUCAAUAAGAAUACUAACCACAAAAAUUUGAAUCUUAGUAUGUAUGUUUGAUGUUAUUAGAAGCAAUUUUUAUCUGUCCUCCUCUCCUCCUGUUCAGGAAGGCUCUAUGUUUCACUGCCCCAGGAGCUUGGAAAUGUGACAAUGUUGACUUUUUCAGCAAAGACGGGAGAAAAAAAAUCUUUAAAAAGUGUUUUGAGCCAUUUUUCUGAAGGAGAUAUUAACUAAUUUGUCCAAAGUUCUCCCAGUGGCAGGGCUGGGAGAAAUUCAAUAUUGUAGCAAGUUGUUGGCUCUUACUUAACAUAGGACAUGAGUCAUUACACCCAUGUUGGCAGUGAACAGACUUAAUCCUGGGAAUUGCAGUUAACUGAUCAAGGAAGGAUUUUCUUGUUGCCUUUAAUAACCUACCUGUAUGAAACUUGAACUAGCUUGUUACCACUGUUACCCUGUUUGAAAAAGCAGGUGACUAUGGGUGGGGAGUGAAAAAGAAAGUCUAACAGGUUGCUGAUAUGGCAUUUUCAAAUCACCUCCUUAAGCCUGUUAGUUUUAACUCUUGGACUUUGUAACGUAGCCCACAGAAACCACACAAUUUAUCACCCUUGUCUCUUAAUAUUAUUGCGUGUGAAAUAAAAUAAGAGGAGAAAAUUACCUGCAGCGUGAUUCAACUCUUCCAAGUAGAACAGGCGAUAGUCCUUCAUCCAAUAACAGUAGAAGCUAAUAUACUUUGAAUCACUGCUUGAAUUCCUUCCCUCCAUGUCCCGGUAAUAGUCAGUAUGUGAAGGGAUCAGUUUCUGCAAAGCCAAGAAUGAUGUUCUCUGCAUAAGCAAGCGAUCAGACGACCCUUCAGAUGACCCUUUGCUAAACUCUCCUCCCAGCAUUCGUGAACUGUGUUGUCUCAGGCCUUCGGCAUCUUUGUUUCACUCAUCGCAGAUCUGGCUGAAGUUACCAUCUCUGCCUUUGUUCAAGCGAGAAGAAAUUAAGCUCUUUACAGGAACAGAGAGCCAGAGGCAGUGAAAAAGUCUGUAAAAAGCAGCUCAUCUCAUGGCUAGAGAUGGGUAGGAAUGUUCAGAUUAGACAUCUGUCUUCGUUAUUUAUAAUAGAGCAGAAGAAGAAAUUCUCUUGAAAUGGAUUUUUUUAGUGGGAAUGUUUGGAAAUUUCUCAUCAAAAUGAGAAAGAGACAUUAAUGUCAGAUAUUUAUGCUCUCACAUCUACAGGUGUUUCUGUAUUUCUGUGAACUUUGGCAGGAGUUACUGCAGGUGAUCACCCAGUGGUUACAGCCUUCGCUUGAGGCAUGAGGAAGUUUGGUUUGUUUCCAGGUCAGAGCUGGGAUGGCCAUAGACCAUGUCCAGAGCCAAAAACUCUCACUGAACAAUAGCUCUGGAAAUUGAUACACAGUGAUAGCAUAUGAAAAAUUUUUCCUACUCUGCUUCACUCUGAGUGAACAAAGGGAGAGGAAUUAUGCUUUAAAAACACUCUGAAUUUUGGGGAAACACAACUGGACUUUCAGGGUUACAGGUUCUGAAAAGCAUAGUCUUCCUUAUAGUAAUCACCCUUAAGAUCUUUCCUUGGAUAAAUAUUUCAAAAUUAUUGCAGUCAGUCACUAUACCUGUUAUAAAGAUAAGCACUGGAAUUAAAAUACCUAUCUGGGUUAUUAUCUGAUAAAACAUUUCUUCGUUCAAUAAACUGAACUACAGUUACUUUCUCUUUGUUUGUCAGCUGAUUGCAAGCUGACGAGAUAGUGAGCAGCAGAAAGGAGUCUGAACUGUGAACUUUUACUUUAUGGCAUUGAAUAAGCUUUUCUUGACUUGUUUGAACCUUUCCCUUCUCCCUUAGUUACAAACUGGGAUGGAAUAAUUUCUGCAUGUAAGCAUGGUGUUUAGGAGUACCCCUUACAGUCAAGUGUCUAAACAGUGAGCCAUAGCAGAUAAUGCUGCUGGUAACUGUGCCAGGCUGUGCAGGAACAGCCCUUUUGUUCGAGCUUUUCUUCAGAGCCAGGCAAACAUGAUCUGCUUAUUAAUAUCCAAACAGUAAGUUGCAACUACCCAUGCAGCGAGAUGUUUGUAUUUCAGAAGGUCAUUAAAAAAGUCAUCAAUAUUACACCUACAAGUUGCUUCAUGCAUCAUUAUUGCUUUUUGUCUGAAAUAAAAAUCUUCUCUUCAGAAUAUUGGCACUCAGCAAACCCCUCAAGCAUCUUGUGGAGAGCAAAAUAUUGUUGUCUUCAUAUGAAUGUCAAGGAAGAACUGCCAUAAAGAUAUUCAUAGUGUGAACAUUAAUCUUUAUUUUAAAUGCCUAUUGUGAAAGAUGGCACUUGCUAUGCCUUCAAGGAGAUGUCUCUCUCUUGAGAAGGCACCCACAGGAUUAGUUGCCAUACAUCAACUUCUGAGGCCAUAUGGAGGUGUUAAAUUUCUCAUGCCUGGACAAGCUAUCAGUUCAUAAUAAUAUCAAACUGCCAAAUGAUACUUGUUAUUUUCUAAAGUCCAUUGACUCAAGUUUAUGUAGCUGAAGGUGACAAGGAAGACAUAUCUCUUCUGAAUCUCAGUUAUAGGUGGCAGGGGUUUGGAAUGAUGAUCUCUAAGGUCCCUUCCAACUCAAAUCAUUCUAUGAGUCUAUUAAUCUAUGAUUCUAUGUUUGAAGAAGUCAUUUCAAGAGUGGUGGGAGGAGAUAAGCAAAUUUUAUUGUGUCAGAAAGGAGUGACAGGAUCUCUACAGAGUCUCUUUAGAGAGACGAGCAAAAGCCCAAGCCACACAGUACAAGAAAAUGCAAUAGUUAGAGGCAAUGGGUGGGUAAGGAUCAUUUUGGAGACCCUUGGUGUGGGAGAGGCUGGAAGCCUGUGCCCUGUGUCAGCAGCAGGCAGACUCUUUCUUCCUCUAUAGGCCUGCAACAAUCAAAUAAGUAUGGGACACAGGCAAGGAGGAAGUGUCUAAUGUGUCUAUUGAGAACCCAAAUGAUGGGAUGGAUGUCAGUCUUGAAAAGCCGGGAAUGAUACCAAACUGAGGGGAUCAAUCACUGUUCUAGAGGGUAGGGUUGCUGUGCAGAUGGACUUGGAUAGGUCCAGAGAAGGAUCCUCGUUAUGGUCAGGGUUGGAGCACAGAGUGUGCAAGGGAAAGUGCGGGACACUAUGGUCCUUCAGCCUGGGAAAGAGGAGGGGAAGGAGAGAUAUCUCUGCUGUCUGCAACUGCCUGGUGUGAAGGAGGGGAGAAAAUGGAGACAAACUUUUGCCAGCGGUGGACAGCAACAGAAUGAGAUGCAAGAAACAUGACCUAGAACGUGAGAAAUCCCCAACAGAUAUUGAAAAAAACUAUGACAGUGAUCAGGCAUUGGAACUGGGCCCAGAGGGGAUGUGAAUUCUCUUUCCAUGGAGAAAUUAAAACUUAACUUGACAAAUCUCUAGCAGCCUGAUCUAACUGGACCUGCAUUGAGUUAGAUUAAUUCCAGAGGUUCCUUCCAAUCUGAAUUAUCCUAUCAUUUCAGUAAAAUAAUUUGGGGAAAAAAUAGUUUCAUUUUAAAAGUAGACAAUUAGCUUGCCUUGGUUUCUGUACACAAAUUUAUAUGUUUCUUUAAUGAGCUUUAAAAAAUUUGAAUGUUACUAUUCCAUUUUUGCAAGUUUUCUAAAUUAUGCAUAUACAUAAAAAUAUUGAAAGGCCAUUAUUACUAUUGUACUGUUGUUAACUGUUAUUAUUAUAUGUUGUUAAAUGCAGCAAACUAGCAAACUGUAACAUUUUAAUUGUCGUGGCAUCAGACUGUGACAAUGCAAGGAUUAGGUCCAAAUUAGGUCCAAAAUGAUGGUCUAUAUCAUAGGGAGCUUCUGAGCUUAAUAGAAAGAAUGGUUUUCUAUCCAUAAGACUGUUUGCAAGUGUUUUUUUCUUUGAAUUGAAGUUUAGG